CCUAUUUCAGUGAAAAACGAGAACAUCAGUAUGUCUCGUUUUUAAUCAAAUUGUCUUUUUAAAUCAGUAAAAGUCAUGCUAGUCUGUUAGAACAAUGUCGACACUAACGUGGUGGCCAGGAUAUCGGGUGGAUUCAGCGUUUGAAUAGUCAAAGAAGUCGAGGAUAUAUCCAUAACCGAAAGGGUUACUUUGGGAUUGGUGCGUCCGGCCUGCGUGAAUUAGAUAUAGGCGAAAACCAAGAGUUAUAAAACCAUCACCCCUCAACCAUUCAAAUAAAAGUGUGAGGUCCGUUAGCCAGCAGAAAUUCAACUUUGCAGUGUUUCAACUAACUUUUGUCUGAACUCUUCGGGAAUUGGAAUGAGACCCUUGCUGAAAUGCGGUCCGCUAUGGACUGAUCCAUCCUUAUGCAGAUCGACGCUCCAUAUGGCCACUGUUGGAUUAGGACGACCGGGCUGAACAUGUCGAGCAUAUUGGGAGGGAACAUCCAACCAUACCUUAGGAUAGCGGAUGGCAUUGGUAACUGGAUACUGGUCUUUAAUUGAACCAGCCUCUCCAUAAACUGAGAACUCCAUGUGGUCGACUUGACGAUCAUCAAAAGAGGCGAAUACCAUGCGAGCUCCGCUGUUGGCAAUCCAAAUAGCGUUGUCUUGACUCAGUACCUCCUCUGCAACUCACGAAAGAGUCACAACGAUGUAAAAAUACGACAAAAAAGAAAUGUGCACGACUAACCUUCAUAAACCCAAUCAGGGACGCCAUUGAACACGGCCUCGUGUUCGCCGUCAGUGGUGAGGCGAACAUCAGGUACUGUAGAGUCUGGAGUCUGCCGGAAAUAGAUAUCAUUGGCGUACACAUAAAUUAUAUUAUUUUCUUUCUUGUUCCAUGUGGCGUAACGCAUUUGCGGCUGAGGUUCGUCUGGACGAGGUCUUAGCGGAUAAACAAUUUUCCCUUUCCAAGUCGAUGAUGGAAUAGCGAGCCAAACUCGAAUACCGACAAUUUUCCCUGGAGGACGGGAACAGAACGCCUCCCAUUUUCGAAAAGAGAAAAUAAUGCCUGGAAAAAAAUGUAGAAAAAAAAACACCCUUCUUCGGUCAAAAAUACCAUCAGCAUAUACUUUCACUUUCGGGAGAUCUCUGCAUGGUUCAAUUAUGACCUGUAUAUUCACGUACUCGUACCUGCCUCAGCUCGCAAUCCUAGGAAGAAAGGGC